rnacentral:lncRNA from 1 species
CACAAACCCAAUCCUCCAAACAUUACAAAGAAAAAAAAUAAACUCAAGUUUUACCAUACCUUCUUUCCUACCCUAUGUACGAGAAAUGCUAGGCUCACAAUAUUUUUCUCUCAAAUCAACUCUCUGGCCACACCUAAAAUAAUGAAAUAUAUCCACUAUUUAUAGGAUCAAUAACCAAGUAGAAGAGUUUAAUUUAAACUCAAACAAAACUCCUUUAACUCAAUAAGAAUUCCUUUAUGUGCAAGAUUUCAAAACCGGCUGUAAAUUGGAGAUCAAAGUCUGCAAGGAUUAUGCUCUCAACUUUAAUUAAAAGUCUUCCAUACAAUAACUACCUUUUAUUAUUUGCAAUAGAAGUCCUCUAACUUUUGACUUUUGAGGCAAUUACCCAACAAUCUCCAUUUUGUCGAAAACGAGUUAAAAUCUUGUCAUCUCUUCUACAGCUUUUAAUCACAAUACUUGGAAAAAAUAGGUAAGCCUUUUGAUACACUUUAAAGGUCCCAUACUCCACCAUAUGAGUAUAACCACUCAAAAUUAUCCGUGAACUCCGAGCAUUUCAUUAGCUACAUGUCGAAACAACCCUGCUGAUAGUUAUGGUGCAACUCUUCACUAACUUUUCUGAAGAGCUCAUUAGCUAGCGACAUCACAAUACCACCACAUACCUACAAACCUUGCAUCAAAUGUCAGUCAAUGCUAAAUGCAGAUCUGUUGACUCGUGCCAAUAAGAAUACAUCCUCUAUCAUGGCAACUUGCAACAUGCCAUGAGGAUGUUCCCAUCUUACUUUAUAGCACCACAUCCACGUCCUCCUCCACCAGGAGAGACGCAUUGUCCGACUCCAAGCAGUUAGCCAACCCUGCUACACCUUUUGGACAAUUUCUCUUCACGUGACUAAUCUGCCCACAGUUCCAACAAGUUGCUUUCUUCUUCAUGGAGUUGCCAAUCUUGCCUGAACUUUUGGUUGGGUUUCCUUUCAAAGCCUUAUGUAGUCUAGCUUGAAUCAAUAAAUCCCUAACUUGUACUUUCUACAAGUGAAAAUUGAUUCUCCCGUCAAAUUUAUCUAUGUCAUAUUUCAACGACGACAUAUUUUUCUAUUGCUCCAAUAUUUCGAACCACUUAAUGCUCUGAUACCAUUUGUUGAGCACGGAAGUUCCAAUAAAACACGUUGAUUCCAAACCGGAUUUUAAGGAACGGGAUUAUAUGACAAUAUUGAAGAAUAAUAGGCCACACACCGAAAAAAUAAGGUUUAAAAGUAAAGAAAACAUAUAGGGAUUAACGCAGAGAACGAUGUUUAUUAAACUGAACAAUAUGGAGAAUACAAGACAGACUAGAAAUACUACUUCUAUG